rnacentral:rRNA from 1 species
CGGGUAGAGUAACACGUGGGAACACGCCUUCGAGUGGGGAAUAACGCUGAGAAAUCAGUGCUAAUACCGCAUAUGGUCUAACGACUAAAGCAGCAAUGCGCUCGGAGAGUGGCCCGCGUCCGAUUAGCUAGUUGGUGGGGUAAUGGCCUACCAAGGCGGUGAUCGGUAGCUGGUCUGAGAGGAUGGUCAGCCACACUGGGACUGCGAACGGCCCAG